rnacentral:lncRNA from 1 species
AAACACACGAGGAGCAUCAUCUUGCUUGAAUCGGCUCAAAAGAUUCUUCCAGAUACCCUCAGCAGUAGAGAUAAACAACAGACUCUGACCUAUCUUCUUGCUAACAGAAUUCAUAAGCCAUGUAGCGACCAUGUCGUUGCAACGAGACCAAGAUCCAGAAUCAAUAUGAUCAUCAGGGGGUUUAGGAACUUUACCAGUAACAAAUCCGAGUUUGUUACGAACAUUCAAGGCCAUCUGAAUCGAUCGACGCCAAGAAUGAAAGUCCGCCCCAGUUGUGAGACGAUCCGUGACGAGUUGCAAUCCAGCGUGAUCGGAGCUAUGUAGUAGGGAUUGUUGUAGCUGUCGUAGGUCGGACGAGUCGGAGAACGAGAACGACGGUCAUGCGGAAAUGAAUCUAAGUUCGUCGCCAUUGAAAUCGAAAUCAAGAUUCUGGAGAAGCGGAAGGAAACGAUGAGAGAUUCAGAAUCGGAAAACGAAAGAGAGAAUGGCGUAGGUGAUAGAUUCGAUCAGGUGACGAAGGAAUGAGAUGAAUCGAAGAAGACGAAGAUGAAUCAGAGAAGCGCUCAUGAUUGAAGAGUAAGCUCUGAUACCAUAUUAACAGUGAGAUUAACG